rnacentral:rRNA from 1 species
GAUGAACGCUGACAGAAUGCUUAACACAUGCAAGUCGAUGGGGAAGUGGUGCUUGCACCCUGGUAACCAUGGCGGACGGGUGAGUAACGCGUAAGGAACUUGCCUGCGGGACUGGGAUAACAGCAGGAAACUGCUGAUAAUACCGGAUAAGGUCAUUAAGCUGCAUAGCUUAGUGAUGAAAGGAGACGCCUGCGGAGAGCCUUGCGUCCUAUUAGCUAGUUGGAGGGGUAACGGCCCACCAAGGCGAAGAUAGGUAGCCGGCCUGAGAGGGUGGACGGCCACAAGGGGACUGAGAUACGGCCCUUACUCCUACGGGAGGCAGCAGUGGGGAAUAUUGGACAAUGGGGGCAACCCUGAUCCAGCAACUCUGUGUGCACGAAGACGGUUUUCGGAUUGUAAAGUGCUUUCAGCAGGGAAGAAGGAAGUGACGGUACCCGCAGAAGAAGCGACGGCUAAAUACGUG